AAAACCUACCUUGUUCAUCAUUGUCCUGCAUAUUUUCGAUUGAUAACAUAUAUAUAACUCUAACCCUAGAUUUACUUCAAUCAGAUUUAAGGUUCCUGCUGCAGAAAUUGAAAGUUAGGGUUUGAGGUUAUGUUAACGUUCUGAGAUGAAUCGGGGUUUUGCUGCAAGAAUUGAGAUUGAAUAGGUUUAUUGAUAAUGAUAUUGGUGAUUGGAUUUGUGGAGUUUUAAAGUUAGGGUUGGAUUUGAGAUUGAAAGUUAGGGUUUGAGAUUUGAAAGUUAGGGUUUGUUUUAUCUCGAAUUUGAUUUCUAAUGUGAUAGUGAUUUUGCAGAAUGAGGUAAGGAAGAAGAGGAACCCGUUGUUCCCAAUAAAAGAGGUCGAAAGGAACUCAUAUAACACUGUGGUCGUUGCCUGAGAUUAAAGGCUGCAUGGAGGAUGUUGGAUCCAGAUUGGUCAAUGUUUGGAUCAGGCAGAUGCCAGAUACCAAGGAGAUGACAAGUGCUUGCUUGAGGGUGAUAAGAAGGAUCAGGAGUUGGUUCGGAAAUUGAACCAGCCCAGGAGGAUUCCUGAUCAAGUGGCG